GCGUUGAUAGUUUAGAGGUAAAAUAGCCGCUUCCCAAGCGGCUGUCCCGGGUUCGAUUCCCGGUCAUCGCA
rnacentral:tRNA from 3 species